UACGUAGGGUGCAAGCGUUAAUCGGAAUUACUGGGCGUAAAGCGUGCGCAGGCGGCUUUGCAAGACAGAUGUGAAAUCCCCGGGCUCAACCUGGGAACUGCAUUUGUGACUGCAAGGCUGGAGUACGGCAGAGGGGGAUGGAAUUCCGCGUGUAGCAGUGAAAUGCGUAGAUAUGCGGGAGGAACACCGAUGGCGAAGGCAAUCCCCUGGGCCUGUACUGACGCUCAUGCACGAAAGCGUGGGGAGCAAGCAGG
rnacentral:rRNA from 1 species